rnacentral:rRNA from 1 species
GCAUAUCAAUAAGCGGAGGAAAAGAAACCAACCGGGAUUGCCUUAGUAACGGCGAGUGAAGCGGCAAAAGCUCAAAUUUGAAAUCUGGCGUCUUCGACGUCCGAGUUGUAAUUUGAAGAAGGUAACUUUGUAGCUGGUCCUUGUCUAUGUUCCUUGGAACAGGACGUCAUAGAGGGUGAGAAUCCCGUGUGGCGAGGAUCCCAGUUAUAUGUAAAGUGCUUUCGACGAGUCGAGUUGUUUGGGAAUGCAGCUCUAAGUGGGUGGUAAAUUCCAUCUAAAGCUAAAUAUUGGCGAGAGACCGAUAGCGAACAAGUACAGUGAUGGAAAGAUGAAAAGAACUUUGAAAAGAGAGUGAAAAAGUACGUGAAAUUGUUGAAAGGGAAGGGCAUUUGAUCAGACAUGGCGUUUGCUUCGGCGUUCGCUGGGCCAGCAUCAGUUUUAGCGGUUGGAUAAAUCCUCGGGAAUGUAGCUCUACCUCGGUAGAGUGUUAUAGCCCGUGGGAAUACAGCCAGCUGGGACUGAGGAUUGCGACUUUUGUCAAGGAUGCUGGCGUAAUGGUUAAAUGCCGCCCGUCUUGAAACACGGACCAAGGAGUCUAACGUCUAUGCGAGUGUUUGGGUGUAAAACCCGUACGCGUAAUGAAAGUGAACGUAGGUGAGGGCCCGCAAGGGUGCAUCAUCGACCGAUCCUGAUGUCUUCGGAUGGAUUUGAGUAAGAGCAUAGCUGUUGGGACCCGAAAGAUGGUGAACUAUGCCUGAAUAGGGUGAAGCCAGAGGAAACUCUGGUGGAGGCUCGUAGCGGUUCUGACGUGCAAAUCGAUCGUCGAAUUUGGGUAUAGGGGCGAAAGACUAAUCGAACCAUCUAGUAGCUGGUUCCUGCCGA